UACGGGGGGAGCAAGCGUUGUUCGGAUUCACUGGGCGUAAAGGGUGCGCAGGUGGGCUGGUAAGUUUGAUGUGAAAGCCCCGGGCUUAACCCGGGAAUGGCAUUGAAUACUACUGGUCUGGAGGAUUGGAGGGGGGACUGGAAUUCUUGGUGUAGCAGUGAAAUGCGUAGAUAUCAAGAGGAACACCAGUGGCGAAGGCGAGUCCCUGGACAAUUCCUGACACUGAGGCACGAAAGCUAGGGUAGCAAACGGG
rnacentral:rRNA from 1 species